AUUGAACGCUGGCGGCAGGCCUAACACAUGCAAGUCGAGCGGCAGCGGGAAAGUAGCUUGCUACUUUUGCCGGCGAGCGGCGGACGGGUGAGUAAUGCCUGGGGAUCUGCCCAGUCGAGGGGGAUAACUACUGGAAACGGUAGCUAAUACCGCAUACGCCCUACGGGGGAAAGCAGGGGACCUUCGGGCCUUGCGCGAUUGGAUGAACCCAGGUGGGAUUAGCUAGUUGGUGAGGUAACGGCGCACCAAGGCGACGAUCCCUAGCUGGUCUGAGAGGAUGAGCAGCCACACUGGCACUGAGACACGGUCCAGACGCCUCCGGGAGGCAGCAGUGGGGAAUAUUGCACAAUUGGGGCAACCCUGAUGCAGCCAUGCCGCGUGUGUGAAGAAGGCCUGCGGGUUGUAAAGCACUUUCAGCGAGGAGGAAAGGUUGGUAGCUAAUAACUGCCAGCUGUGACGUUACUCGCAGAAGAAGCACCGGCUAACUCCGUGCCAGCCGCCGCCGUAACAC
rnacentral:rRNA from 1 species